GGGCAUUUGGCACAGUUGGUAGUGUGUACGCUUCGCAUUUUCAUUUAGUAUUGCGUGAAGGCAUGAGUUCAACUCUCACAUUAUCCA